UGAGAAAGGGAGAGAAGAACCGUUUAAAAGAGCGCGUUUGAUCGCGCAACCGGUGACAUGAAGUACCUCGUUAUUGUUAAAAAUACGCAGUUAUGAAAAUAAAUAUAACAGAGCUACUGAAACGUGUGUGGCAGGCUCUCCAGACCAGGACGAGUGGUGGAGGUCCUCAGCACCACUCUGCCAUUUUGAGUCUGGACAUGCUUGUUCUCUUGACACCACAAGCUCCAUUAACCUGAUGUGCUGACGGGGACGACGGCCCAGGUUUGACGGCAGAGGAGGGUGAGAAAGCUCUUUUGUGUCCAUGACAUAUUGUGCAGCAGACUAUAUUUUCUACACUUUUAUACGGCCAUACACAGAAAAAUAAAAUACAGCUUUCCACACUCUAUCGAAAAGUAGGCUUUGGACAACCAGCUAGACAAGAAUCAGUCAAUUUAAUUGUCACAAGACACUGGAAAACCAUUACAUGCCAAAAGACUUGUUUUCAGGAUUUACUUUUCCAGCAGCAUAAUGGAAUUGCAAAAGUGCAGCCUUGCAUGUCCAUACAGAGAGAUGUUGGAGGAAAGCCAAGUGAUUGAUAGGGGGUCUCUGCUAUAGCAAGCUUUGGAUUUUGUCAUAUUUGUCUUUGGAUGUUUGAUGAAACGAUAACCAUCUCCAUCGGUUGGAAGGGGGCUAGUUUUUCAAGAUUCAAGGCUUGAACUGAACUGAAACACUGCUCGACGGCCCUCAGCUCAGCUCUGGUGAGGAUGGUGAAAAUACAUUCAUGAACUACAGUAUGGAUACAGGCAUUACUCCGCACCUCUAACAGACUCUUCAGAUGAAGUGUACUGCAACUCAGCCGCCCAAACUUGGAUCUUCUCUGCAUUCUGACCUACUGAUCUAUGAAGCAGAGCUCUCGGGAGCGCUAUCAUUCUGAAAAAGCGUUAAUAAAUCCACAUCUCUGUCUGAGAGGGUAUAAAAUAAUCAUGGCGUGACUGGAAUUAUUAGUAUGCACAGUGCCCUAAGAUUCGAUAAAUUUUUAAUCGAGGUGAGCUUGGCUGGGUGUUUUACUGAUGUAGGUUUUUAGGCACUCUCUUAUGAAGAGCUGAUUUUGCCGCGAGGUGAUGUUUGAAUUAUGAGUGUGGCUAACAGUCUCAUCUCAGCCUCAUAAUUUGUGUCUUACUGAAAGAUUUGACGAUGCCUAAUCCAAGAGUUGCUCAUUUUUGUAGAUUAUUACAUCAUAAAUCGGUUGAACGCUAAGGUGGUGUGGUCAUUCUAUGCCAGUUUGUUUUGUGAGCUCUAUUGGACUUGAAAGAGAUUUUCGUGAUUCCAAUUUAAAACCGAUUAGCAAUGGGAUUUAAUAACCAGGCUGUGGCCACCUGUACCAAAGAGGCUCAAACUCAAAAGGCAACUGCUCCCAAUGGGGAGAAAACAGUAAUGGCUUGUAAAAACGUAGUCUGGAUAUGUAGCUAAAAAGUGGUGGAUAAAUAAGCAUGAAGUUAAAUGGUGUGAAUACAAAUAAUGUGUGUUUCUUAAAUAAAUGCAUGUAAUAUAGACCAUACAGGCUUGUGUCACAGCACCCUGAGAAAUGAACUGAAAUAUAACAAAAUAACAACAAAAGAAUGAGAAAUCAUUUCCAGUAUGAUGUCAAAUAAAGGCAUAGAGUUCUGUCAAAGAAUCCAGUCAAGGGGAAAAUAAUCAGAUCUGUAAAGAAAAUAUCUUUCCUUUUUUUUAGUUUUUAGUUUUUUUUGGUCUAAUGUCUUGAAACCAUGAUACCAUUGCCUUUACAUUGGGUGUUCAAACAAAUGGCAAAAUGCGUACAUAUGUUUAGAUGUUAUGCUUCCCCCAAGAUAAGAGGUAACAUGUUUACUUUUCUUCUCCUGGCAGCACUGUGGAGUAGAUUUGCUAUUUGGCACUUCUUUAAAAGGAGAGAUGGUCCGCCAUGUGAAGCAGAUCACCCUGGCCAGUUAACAGUCAUGUAUCUCUGCUGUAAAGCAGCGUGUAUCAUGAGGGAGGAGAAGAGGGCUCAGGACGAUGAUCUCUCGCUCAUGGAAGUGGAGUGUGAUUUUUGAUAAUGAGACACUGUGGCUUUAUCCUUAAGCUUCAGCUGGCUGACAACUCUUAGGCUCAUUGGUAGGAUGAUGUAUAAUGAACGUUGGACAGCACUAUGAGAUGUAAUCAAGCUGUUUUAAAUAGAUGUGCCAAUGAAUUAUAUAGUCAUUUAACAUUUUUAGAGGUAAUUAUGUAAUCAGUAAUUAUAACUGAACCCGAUAACAUUGAUUGCAUUUACAUUACAAUCAGCAUUCUGGAUGCUUAUACAAUGUGCAUACAUUUUGGUGCCAAAACUUGAUGAGUUAGAAUUGAUCUCAUUAAGAAAAAAAUUUUUGUCAGGAUUUUAUAAGAAAACAUUUUUGAUAAUUGCAUUUGUGAGCAGUUUGCCAUGUAAAUGCACUCAGUGAUGCCGUUAUUAAGCUAACUGGCCAAUUUUUGCUGUAGGUAGAUGGUAAAUUGUGUAAGAUGAAAAUAAAUUAGCAUUGCUGGCCUGGCCAUAAUGGGCCUGAGCAUUUGUGCCUUUACUUUAGAUUCCCUGCCGCUUUCUUCCCUUAUAAAUGCCAUUUAUAAGCCAAGAGUUGCCAACACCUAGCAAUGGGUCAAAGCGCUGUGGUCACCUACAAACUGGAGAGAAUGGGACUAGCACACCUCGGAGAAGAAACUGACGCUUUCGGACUAUAACUGUUUAGACCAGGCUCCCCACUGCUCACACAUCAUGCAAAGUGUGGCCAUGAAAGGGCUCUAGAAAGCAAAUGAGGAAAACCACAGGAGGAGAGAGACAGACAGAGAGAGACAGAAUCUGAUAGCUUGGGCUCAAUACCCCCCACCCCCGUUCCCGGCCCACAAUUCUUCAUAGAGCUGAGGGUGAGUGGCUUGUCCUGGUUUUUUUGUGGACAGAAGAAGAGUUGCUUGAAGAACCAGCAGGUGCUAUGGACAUCACUCUUCAGGCUGGGCUAGCAAAGGCCCCUUGUUGCAAGGCCCCCCAAGGCAAAGGAAGAGCAUAGAAAUCAGAACCAAGGGGGAGGGCACUCUAAGCU